AUUGAACGCUGGCGGCAUGCCUUACACAUGCAAGUCGAACGGUAACGCGGGGCAACCUGGCGACGAGUGGCGAACGGGUGAGUAACGCAUCGGAACGUGCCCAAUAGUGGGGGAUAGCCCGGCGAAAGCCGGAUUAAUACCGCAUACGACCUAAGGGUGAAAGCGGGGGAUCGCAAGACCUCGCGCUAUUGGAGCGGCCGAUGUCAGAUUAGGUAGUUGGUGGGGUAAAGGCCUACCAAGCCGACGAUCUGUAGCUGGUCUGAGAGGACGACCAGCCACACUGGGACUGAGACACGGCCCAGACUCCUACGGGAGGCAGCAGUGGGGAAUUUUGGACAAUGGGCGCAAGCCUGAUCCAGCCAUGCCGCGUGCGGGAAGAAGGCCUUCGGGUUGUAAACCGCUUUUGUCAGGGAAGAAAAGGCUCGAACUAAUACUUUGGGCUCAUGACGGUACCUGAAGAAUAAGCACCGGCUAACUACGUGCCAGCCGCCGCGGUAACAC
rnacentral:rRNA from 1 species